rnacentral:rRNA from 1 species
CGGGGUGAGUAAUGUAUGGGGAUCUGCCUGAUGGCGGGGGAUAACUACUGGAAACGGUAGCUAAUACCGCAUAAUGUCUGCGGACCAAAGCGGGGGACCUCCGGGCCUCGCGCCAUCAGAUGAACCCAUAUGGGAUUAGCUUGUAGGUAAGGUAACGGCUUACCUAGGCGACGAUCCCUAGCUGGUCUGAGAGGAUGAUCAGCCAUACUGGGACUGAGACACGGCCCAG